AGAUCUUUGGUCUCCCCUCCGGUCCUGCAGAGCCUGCAGGGGAGAGGGAGGCACAUUUCCCGGUGCUAUGAUCACAAGAUUAUAGCACCAGGGAAAUAUCUUGCAGCAAUUUAUUGCCGGUCCAAAAAAACUUAUAUAUAAAUAAGGUAUACUAUACCGUCGGAUGAAAGCUUUCGCGGACUAGCGCUUGUUUGUGGCCUGGGGGUUGGGGACCCCUGCUCUAGACGAUAUCUCCUUCAACAUCUCUUACACUAAGAAGACUCUAUCCAAAUUGGUUUUCUGUCCUUCAUUUCCAGCAAAGUCAAAACUUUGCCCUGUUUUGUUUUUGUGAGAAUAUGAAGGUCAUACGAUCUUUCUUUUUCACCCCUUUAAGGCUCCCCUCUUUAUCUCUGUAAGUCACAUUUUCUAGUCUUAGUUUCCACUUUGGCACGAAGGAUCCAG